UCCGUAGGCGGUGUGGCAAGUCGGUAGUGAAACCUCUGGGCUUAACCCAGAGACUGCUGCCGAAACUGCUGUGCUAGAGUGUGAGAGAGGCGAGUGGAAUUACGGGUGUAGCGGUGAAAUGCGUAGAUAUCCGUAGGAACAUCCGAGGCGAAAGCGGCUCGCUGGAUCACAACUGACGCUGAGGGACGAAAGCUAAGGGAGCAAACAGGAUUAGAUACCCUGGUAGUCCUAGCCCUAAACCAUCAGGACUUGGGGUUUGCCCUGUACGGGGCAAGUCCCGUAGCUAACGCGUUAAGUCCUGCGCCUGGGGAGUACGGUCGCAAGGCUGAA
rnacentral:rRNA from 1 species